rnacentral:rRNA from 1 species
AACGAACGCUAGCGGCAGGCUUAACACAUGCAAGUCGAGCGGGGUGAUGGUGCUUGCACUAUCACUUAGCGGCGGACGGGUGAGUAAUGCUUAGGAAUCUGCCUAUUAGUGGGGGACAACAUCUCGAACGGGAUGCUAAUACCGCAUACGUCCUGCGGGAGAAAGCAGGGGAGUACUUGUGACCUUGCGCUAAUAGCUGAGCCUAAGUCGGAUUAGCUAGUUGGCGGGGUAAAGGCCUACCAAGGCGACGAUCUGUAGCGGGUCUGAGAGGAUGAUCCGCCACACUGGGACUGAGACACGGCCCAGACUCCUACGGGAGGCAGCAGUGGGGAAUAUUGGACGAUGGGGGGAACCCUGAUCCAGCCAUGCCGCGUGUGUGAAGAAGGCCUUAUGGUUGUAAAGCACUUUAAGCGAGGAGGAGGCUCUUUUGGUUAAUACCCAAGAUGAGUGGACGUUACUCGCAGAAUAAGCACCGGCUAACUCUGUGCCAGCCGCCGCAGUAA